GGAGAGAAGACGUGCAGGGACCCCGCGCACAGGAGCUGCCCUCGCGACAUGGGUCACCCGUUGCUGCUGCCGCUGCUGCUGCUGCUCCACACCUGCGUCCCAGACUCUUGGGGCCUGCGGUGCAUGCAGUGUAAGAGCAACGGGGAUUGCCGUGUGGAAGAGUGCGCCCUGGGACAGGACCUCUGCAGGACCACGUUCGUACGCAUGUGGGAAGGUGAGCUUCCCCCCAACACACACACCCCUCCAGCACAGCAUGGAGCGCGAGUGAUUGAGAAAUCUUCCUCACCAUUAACUGGGACAUGCAAACUAAAAACAAACAAACAAGGAGAGCCCGUUUCACACCCACCAGAUUGGCAAGCAUUUAAAAAUCUGACAAUACCCGGGUUAGUAAGGAUGUGGAGUUGCAGACCGUGUCUGUGGUGGGGGAAUAAAUUGGCACAUCAACCUCCUAGAGCGAUUCGGCAAUAUCUAGUCCAGAUGAAGAUUAGCAUAUGCUACAGCUGAACUCCUCGCCAUGCAGAAAUGCCAAAGAAACUUGGCCACAUAUACCCAGGGACACAUGUAUAAGAAUGUUCUUAUC
rnacentral:sRNA from 1 species